rnacentral:rRNA from 1 species
AACGAACGCUGGCGGCAUGCCUAACACAUGCAAGUCGAGCGAUACCUUCGGGUCUAGUGGCGCACGGGUGCGUAACGCGUGGGAACCUUCACUUAGGUUCGGAAUAACUCCCCGAAAGGGGUGCUAAUACCGGAUAAUGUCUUCUGACCAAAGAUUUAUCGCCUUUGAAUGGGCACGCGUUGGAUUAGCUAGUUGGUAGGGUAAAAGACUACCAAGGAGACGAUCCAUAGCUGGUCUGAGAGGAUGAUCAGCCACACUGGGACUGUAACACGGCCCAGACUCUUACGGGAGGCAGCAGUGGGGAAUAUUGGACAAUGGGCGAGAGCCUGAUCCAGUAAUGCCGCGUGAGUGAUGAAGGCCUUAGGGUUGUAAAGCUCUUUUACCCGGGAUGAUAAUGACAGUACCGGGAGAAUAAGCUCCGGCUAACUCCGUG